GGGUGCGAUCAUACCAGCACUAAUGCACCGGAUCCCAUCAGAACUAACGUGCUUGGGCGAGAGUAGUACUAGGAUGGGUGACCUCCUGGGAAGUCCUCGUGUUGCACCCC
rnacentral:rRNA from 1 species